UGUCAUGCCAAUGGCAUUGCCCGGUAGCUAAGUGCGGAAAAGAUAAGCGCUGAAAGCAUCUAAGCGCGAAACUUGCCUCAAGAUGAGUCUUCCCUGGGCCUUCAAGGCCCCUGAAGGAACGUUUAAGACUAAGACGUUGAUAGGCUGGGUGUGUAAGUGCAGCGAUGCAUUGAGCUAACCAGUACUAAUGAUCCGUGAGGCUUAACCUU
rnacentral:rRNA from 1 species